rnacentral:rRNA from 1 species
AUUGAACGCUGGCGGCAGGCCUAACACAUGCAAGUCGAACGAGUGGCGGACGGGUGAGUAAUGUAUGGGAAUCUGCCCGAUGGAGGGGGAUAACUACUGGAAAAGGUAGCUAAUACCGCAUACUAUCGGAUGAACCCACAUGGGAUUAGCUAGUUGGUGGGGUAAAGGCUCACCUAGGCGACGAUCCCUAGCUGGUCUGCGAGGAUGAUCAGCCACACUGGGACUGAGACACGGCCCAGACUCCUACGGGAGGCAGCAGUGGGGAAUAUUGCACAAUGGGCGCAAGCCUGAUGCAGCCAUGCCGCGUGUAUGAAGAAGGCCUGAGGGUUGUAAAGUACUUUCAGCGGGGAGGCGUUACCCGCAGAAGAAGCACCGGCUAACUCCGUGCCAGCAGCCGCGGUAAUAC